CGCUGGCGGCGUGCCUAAUACAUGCAAGUCGAACGGUCUUUCUAUGGAAGCUUGCUCCACUGAGAAGAUAGUGGCGAACGGGUGAGUAACACGUGGGUAACCUGCCCAUAAGAGGGGGGAUAACAUCCGGAAACGGGUGCUAAUACCGCAUAGUUUUCUUGAUCGCAUGAUCGGGAAAGGAAAGACGGCCUUUGUGCUGUCGCUUAUGGAUGGACCCGCGGCGUAUUAGUUAGUUGGUGAGGUAACGGCUCACCAAGACGAUGAUACGUAGCCGACCUGAGAGGGUGAUCGGCCACAUUGGGACUGAGACACGGCCCAAACUCCUACGGGAGGCAGCAGUAGGGAAUCUUCCGCAAUGGACGAAAGUCUGACGGAGCAACGCCGCGUGAGUGAAGAAAGGUUUUCGGAUCGUAAAACUCUGUUGUCAGAGAAGAACAAGUUGGAGAGUAACUGCUCCAGCCUUGACGGUAUCUGACCAGAAAGCCACGGCUAACUACGUGCCAGCAGCGGC
rnacentral:rRNA from 1 species